rnacentral:tRNA from 1 species
GUGGCUGUGGCUCAGUGGUAGAGCACUUGCCCAGCAUGCGGGAAAUACUGGGUUCAAUUCUCCGCACCACA